rnacentral:rRNA from 1 species
CCUUGACAUGCAGAGAACUUUCCGAGAGAUGGAUUGGUGCCUUCGGGAACUCUGACACAGGUGCUGCAUGGCUGUCGUCAGCUCGUGUCGUGAGAUGUUGGGUUAAGUCCCCGUAACGAGCGCAACCCUUGUCCUUAGUUACCAGCACGUUAUGGUGGGCACUCUAAGGAGACUGCCGGUGCAAACCGGAGGAAGGUGGGGAUGACGUCAAGUCAUCACGGCCCUUACGGCCUGGGCUACACACGUGCUACAAUGGUCGGUACAAAGGGUUGCCAAGCCGCGAGGUGGAGCUAAUCCCAUAAAACCGAUCGUAGUCCGGAUCGCAGUCUGCAACUCGACUGCGUGAAGUCGGAAUCGCUAGUAAUCGUGAAUCAGAAUGUCACGGUGAAUACGUUCCCGGGCCUU